AUCUCCCUCGAUAAGGACGAGAAAAGUCUCCUGAUUUUCAACAUACACACAAAUAGUUAAGGCAUUGCCACCUACUUUAUGGCAUCUGACCAUCUUUU
rnacentral:ncRNA from 1 species